AUGUGUUUUUCGUUCCUUUUCUUGUUUCUUUUGGUUUUUCUAUUGUUUUCUGCCAUUUUACCUUUUUAUAUCAUGUUUUUUCUUUCUAUGUUUUCUGUAAAAAUAGUUUUUGUUAGCAAUACGGUAGACAGACGGCCUCUGUCGAAUGUUUUCCCGCGCAUAUGUGAUGGUAACAAAUUUAAUAAAAACAAGACACUGCUUCUACUACUGCCCGCCUUACCAUUUCUUGGGUGCAAAGAGGUAGAGGCUCUGUAUCAUUGGGUUGAUAAUUUUCUGGUGGUACAAAAAGGGUCACAGAAAGAGAAGCAAACAAAACCGUCGCAUCAUUGUUAA
rnacentral:rRNA from 1 species